GCUUCUGCAUGAUAAUAAUCAUCGUGUUCUGUUUCACACGCUUUUAUGCUGGAGCCUUUGGGUACUAUGGAAUAUACUUGGAUUGAGGAGGACAGAGAGGAAGACAAGUUCUCAAUGAUUUGAUGAAGUUGAACUGCGCAGGAAAAUAUUGUGAAAAUGCUCGGUUGUUGAAGCUACAAAUUCUGGAAAGAUUUCUCUCUUUCCUUCGCGAGUUUAUGGUUAUGGAGGAACAAUUAUCUGUUGGUAACUUCUGUAGUUUGUUUUCAUAUCUAAUCUAUAAAAUCUUAUGUCUUGAAAAACUCUAGUUAUUGGAAUCUCUAGAGAUCCUUUCACAGCUUAUUAUGGCAACUUCAAAUGUCACAGAUUUUAUGUCUUCCUCUUCAUCAUACUCAGUCUCUGAUUCUGAAGUGUAAAGCAUUGAGCUUCAUGAUCUAUAACAAUUGCACUGAUCUCAA